GAACACUUGUAACAUGAAUCCACCAGAGGAGGAGCCUUCAGACCACUGAUUUCACACCAGCUUACUGUUACUGCCUUAAAACUUCACAAAUUACAGCAGGUGUAUCUGCAGAUGAACAGACUGAAAACUCUACGGUUUAUUAUUAUGCUCGACAGCUACAGUGACAGUGACUGCAGUUGGUUCAAAUUAAAGCUGUACAAGAAUGUACAGUGUUUGUUUCACAGGGAUGAUACUUCCUGAUAAUGUAUUGCAAAAGACACAUAUUGCAUGAAAGACAAAAAUGACUGUAUCUCAGUAAUACGUGCACACAUCUGAAUCACAAAAAUAGAUAUAAUUUGUAGAGAAAUAGGUUUUUACACAUACUGAACAAUGUGUAAUACACACAGUACAUACAGUACAUAAAAAGCUAUAUCAUAAUAACUAUGCUAUAAUAUUAAAUGUAAACCUGUAAUGCUAACUAACAUUUUGUAAAGUUUGGCUUCAUGCUAACUGCUGACAAUAUAGGUCUUGUCACUCUCCAGUGCAGGAAACGGUGUUUGGUUUUUGAAUUAGUGUUCAUCACUGUGUAUGGUUGGGUGGCACUGAGAUAUACACCCACACACAAACCUGAGAACAAGUAUUUUUCAACUCAUCCUUUUGUCAUUUCAAGAAAAGGUCCAGAACAAAAUAUAUCAUAUUGGAAUAUGAGGUAACUACCAUGUUUUAAAAUUUGCUUUGCAGAUUAAUAGUUAAAAGGUAGUCGAUUAAUAGUUGUAAGUCAUAGUUCUUGCACACAGGAUUGUUUUCUUCCAGUAAAACCUAACUUUAAAAAGUGACUUGGAGUCAACAUUGAAGACAAACUCACAGGAUGAGGGCAGGAGAACUACUAGAUACUGGAGUUCUUUGCAUUUUGUACAAAAACUGACAUUUAUAAGGUUUAAUCUGGCAUUUUAGGUUUUUGUUCAAGCAGUGAAUGGAGAGGCAUCACUGUGACUAUUUUGACUACUGGGGUCAGGGGACCGAAGUCACAGUACAGUCAGAAGCGGCAACACCACCAACUCUCUUCCCAUUGGUCCAGUGCCAUUCUGGGUCCGAAGAUACGCUCACUGUCGGCUGUCUUGCACAUGGCUUCUUACCAAAGAGCAUAUCGUUCACGUGGAGUGACGACAGUGGGGCGAGUCUGACUUCAGUACCAUAUCCUCCAGCUCAGGCAAACAACAAAUACAUAGGAGUCAGUGUGCUCAAUGUGUCCAAAUCUGACUGGGAUGCGAGGAAGUCUUUCACAUGUUCAGUAACACAUGCUGGAUCUCCCCAAAGUCUGCAAGUACAAAGGUCUCUUCCCACUAAAGUGACUUUGCUCUCGGUGCCUGGUGAUGACACCCAGACUCUGGUCUGCACAGUCGAAGACAGUGUUAAAGGAACGGUUCAAUCAUUUGAAUGGAAAAAGAGCAACGUAGAGCUGAACGACUACUUCCACAGUCCCAUCCAACAGGUUGGAAAGUUAUAUUCAGCUGUGAGUGUCCUGAAAGUCAAGAAGACAGACUGGGACAGUGAAGCUGUUUAUAGCUGUAAGGUCACUUACAGAGGAACCGCAUACAUUAAAAAGGCCUCGAAAGCUCUGAUCACAAUGACCCUGACACCACCAAGUCCCAAAAGAAUUUUCAGUGACAACGAGGCUAAGCUGGACUGUGUCGUCAAUGGACAAGACAAGGUCACAGUUGAUAAAACCGAAAUCACAUGGCAAAUCAAUGGCCAAAAUGUGACUGAUCACAUUACUGAAGCAAGAAAGUCCGAAGGCAGACAAUACAGCAAAAUCAGCACAAUGACUCGUAAUUACACGGAAUGGCAGAAUGUCAACAACGUGCGCUGUUCUGCUCAUGGAGAAGAUAUGACUCCAGUCAUUCAAGAUCUGACUGUCCAAAAAGGAGAUGGAAGACAACCAAAGGUGACGGUGCACAUGCUUCCUGACAAAAGCAUCAACCAAGGAGACUCGGUGGAGGUCACCAUGAUGUGUCUGGUCUCCAGUCCAGUGCUGGCGGAUUACUACAUCACAUGGUCUGAUGAUGCGGGACAACAAUUUGGCAACUAUGCUGAUGGCAUCAACUUCCCCUUGCAGAAGACAAUGGAUGGCUACAUGGUAGCAAGUGUUUACACCACCACCAGGAAGAAGUGGGAACAGCAGACCAUUUUCUACUGCAAUGUCUGGCCCGCUGGCAGCAAUGGGUCCAUGAAGCCAGUGGGAGUAUCUAAGAAUAUGGAUUUGUCAUCAGAGUCAGAUCUGAAUUUGCCUCUGAGCUGCUCAGAAGACCACACUGAGGAGGAUGAAUUCAGCAGUCUGUGGUCCACAACCUGCUCCUUUAUAUUUCUCUUCAUAUCCUCUCUCUUCUAUAACAUGAUAUUCAGCUUGGUCAAGGUGAAGAGGAAAUAAAUGACGUUACGGAUACACAACACUGUUCCUUUCUGUUAAAUAUAUCUUGAAACAAGUACAUAACAAAAAUUCCGUUGUAUGUCAAAAUCACAAAUGCUUAGUGCUACACAUUUUUUUAUUGUAGUGUAUGAUUUAAUUUCCUCACAAUGUAAAUAAGAAAUUUUAUUGUUUCAUUGCUAGACAAAAUAAAAUCUUUGUUCUUCAUA